ensembl:lncRNA
ACUCUUUUUGGACAAGUACAAGGAAAAGGUCAUGAAAGCAUUUCAGUGCAUUAACACUGCCAGAGGAACAGAGAAUCCUUGGAAUUCAAGGCUGAAGUGGAUACAGGAAGAUACAGGAGUCCAUCACUAACCUACUGCAGUGCGUCAGAUCUGAGCAAGACAUUGGAACAAGUAAAGCAUGACUAUCACUUCAGCUUCUGUUUAUCUCCUCCUCGUUGGACCUUCCUGUGGACUUACCAGAAAUCUAUCAAACAGUAUCACAAUAUCUACCUUUGCAUCCGGUAAAAGUGGGGGUCGCAUUAGGACUGGCUGAAAUUCCAGCUUAUGAAAUAUACUGAGGUUUCAGAGCCUGUUCCAACAUGAACAAAACCAAUAUCAUCUGUAAUACAUGCAUGAAGAAACCAAACCUAUUCCAGGAGACCAAUAGGAAUUUUUUCUGUAACCUACAGAUUAGUAGCUCACCUUGGGAAAAAAGAGAGCCAUACUCAGCUCCCCUCAGAGAAUCAGGCAUUUGAAUUUGAGCUUAGCUCCUUACAGCGCUUCCUGAGCCGAGUCUCACAUCAUGUGGAAUACCCUGAUUUGAUCUAACUGCAAGGAACAGUUUCCCACUUUUAUACAUGGAGGUAUUUUGGAAGAGGGUUUUGUUUUUGUUUUAAAUGCAACCCUGCUGUUCCAGUUCACAUUUUGUUUUCCCUAAGAGAAAAGAAAAACAACUGGAAAAUGGAUAAGAACUGUAUUGUUCCAAUCCCUACUUUCUGCCAUUUCAGUUAAUUACUGUAUUGCAGAAGUUGGUGACACUUUUCAAGAAACUGAAGUGAGCUGACCAUUGUGAAGGAAGAGAGGCUGACAGCAGAAGAGAGAGGCAAAGGGAUAAUGCCCCAGAGGCAGAAAAAAGCCAUGAGCAAAUUGAAUUACCACAGCCCAUCCCAGUGAGUCCUCUGCCCUCUCUUGUCUACCUCACUUUGCUCAUUUAACCUAAAGAAAGACUUGUAGUACUGUAAAAGAGUAAAAUCUAUCCCUUAUAACAGACAGUGUGACUUAGACGCAUGAGGACAGCCUUUGGGCCUUGUAUUCCAGCUAUACAGGCAGCACUUCCAUGUGGGAGCAAGGCGGAUGUGGUACCCACCCUAUCUGCAGGACAUAGGCUGCAGCCAUCUAUGCCCUUGUGGCCCUAUCUUGGCUUGAUGAAUUCCUCUCCACCUCAUCCUCUAUCUUGUCAGUGCUGAGCAUCAUGAUGUUAAGCCUAUUGGAAUACUUGUCUUAAAUCACAUGGAAAUAUAAAGCCUCUUCUCACAGGUGAAAUUCAGAGGCAAACACAAAGACCUGCCUGGUGCUUACAAGCUUCAUUACAACUUGUGCUGGCCAUGAUGGUCUCCCACUCCAAAGGAAGCGCCUAUAGAGCUGUGCAAAACUCAUCCCAUCCUGCUGAGAAUUUUCAGAUCUCAGAUUUUGCUUUGUCACCAACACAAAGAAAGCCGACCAGCUCUCCUCAGUGCCUGUGCCUGUUCAGGCUGCUCCCCUUAUUGAUGGGAGAAGGUGCUUCUGCUGAGGGACCUGUCUCACUGGAGGUAAAGAUGGAUGCAGAUCAAGCUGAUGUCAAGACUCCCAGAGCCCUAGUUUUCCUCUAGCUUCUGCUCCUGACAGCUGGGAGGGAAUGGGGAGCAGCCACCCCAGAACACUGAGUAAUUAUUUGCCUCUCUUGAACAAAUUGGAAGGAAGCUAGACAUUUUGUGAUGGAAAUUUUUCAGCUUCCCAUACAUUCCUCAGUAAAGUCAUGCCAUCCAUGUGGAAAGUUUUGAUUGUGACUCGUCAAUGAAGAAACAUGCCAUUGAGUAAUUGCUGUCCUGGCUUUAUUUGCAGUUGUCCUUCUUUUUGAACAUUAAUGAGAAAGCAACCUUAUGAGUCAGAAGCAGUUGGUGGGAGAGAACUUAACUGAGCUUACCUUUACUUCUUGUACUUGUAACUCAGAUAAGAUACGAUGACCUCUUUCUCUUCUGUCUGCCUAGACCAUUCCCCAUCUCCAGCUGUGGACUAGCAGAUAGCUAGAAAUGGGUUGAUGCUCAUCUUAACCAAAACAGAGAUGUCAGGG